CCUGGUUCAGAAACGAUCUCGUGGUUUUCAUCUGUUUGAGAAAGUUUGUGAACACGUCAACUUGCUGGAGAGAGACUACUUCUGUCUGUCCUUUAGAGACGCAGACAACAACAAGAACUGGUUGGAUCCAGCUAAAGAGAUGAAGAAGCAGGUCAGAGGUGUUCCCUGGAACUUCUCCUUUAAUGUGAAGUUUUACCCUCCUGACCCCGCCCAGCUGUCUGAGGACAUCACCAGGUACUUCCUGUGUCUCCAGCUCAGACAGGACAUUGUCUCUGGUCGUCUUCCUUGUUCGUUUGCGACUCAAACUGUUCUUGGUUCCUACACCGUCCAAUCAGAGCUCGGAGAUUACGACCCCGGUACUG